rnacentral:tRNA from 1 species
GAGGGUAUAGCUCAGGGGUACAGCGUGUUUUUAGCAUACACAAGGUUCUGGGUUCAAUCCCCAUUACUUCCA